rnacentral:rRNA from 1 species
CACGGGGGGAGCAAGCGUUGUUCGGAAUCACUGGGCGUAAAGCGCGUGUAGGCGGCCAAGUAAGUGGGAUGUGAAAUCCCCCGGCUUACCCGGGGACCUGCAUCUCAUACUGCUUGGCUUGAGUAUGGGAGAGGAUGAGGGAAUUCCUGGUGUAGCGGUGAAAUGCGUAGAUAUCUGGAGGAACACCGGUGGCGAAGGCGGCGUCCUGGACCAACACUGACACUGAUGAGCGAAAGCCAGGGGAGCAAACGGG